rnacentral:rRNA from 1 species
CAGUAGCCGCGGUAAUACGUAGGUCCCGAGCGUUGUCCGGAUUUAUUGGGCGUAAAGCGGGCGCAGGCGGUUAGAUAAGUCUGAAGUUAAAGGCUGUGGCUUAACCAUAGUACGCUUUGGAAACUGUUUAACUUGAGUGCAAGAGGGGAGAGUGGAAUUCCAUGUGUAGCGGUGAAAUGCGUAGAUAUAUGGAUGAACACCGGUGGCGAAAGCGGCUCUCUGGCUUGUAACUGACGCUGAGGCUCGAAAGCGUGGGGAGCAAACAGGAUUAGAUACCCCUGUAGUCCCUGUCUCUUAUACC